CAGGAUGAACGCUAGCUACAGGCUUAACACAUGCAAGUCGAGGGGCAGCAUUGGGAUAGCUGCUAUUCAGAUGGCGACCGGCGCACGGGUGAGUAACGCGUAUCCAACCUUCCUGCCAGUAGGGAACAGCCCGGCGAAAGUCGGAUUAAUGCCCUAUGUUCUUCAAUGCGGACAUCUAAGUUGAAGGAAAGAUUCAUCGCUGGCAGAUGGGGAUGCGUCCGAUUAGCUUGCCGGCGGGGUAACGGCCCACCGGGGCGACGAUCGGUAGGGGUUCUGAGAGGAAGGUCCCCCACACUGGUACUGAGACACGGACCAGACUCCUACGGGAGGCAGCAGUGAGGAAUAUUGGUCAAUGGGCGUAAGCCUGAACCAGCCAAGUAGCGUGCAGGAAUGACGGCCCUACGGGUUGUAAACUGCUUUUAUGCGGGGAUAAAGUGCGGCACGUGUGCCGCUUUGCAGGUACCGCAUGAAUAAGGACCGGCUAAUUCCGUGCCAGCAGCUGC
rnacentral:rRNA from 1 species